rnacentral:misc_RNA from 1 species
AAUUCUCAACUACACUGACUUGGUGUGGCUUGGAUUUGGGGGUUGUGGGCUUUUUGUAGUCUGCUCCCCUGAAAUUAAUUAGCGGUACCUUGGUGGAACUGUCUACAGGUGUGAUAAUUAUCUACAUCCUAGACGUCUGCUGGAAUGCUGCUUUCUAGACCUUACUUGUAUUGACAA